CAGGACCCACCACGGAUCUAUUUGCCUGAGGGUCUAAGAGAACCCCUGGGAAAGCAGACAGAUGUGCUUUACCAGAAACAAAGUCCCAGUGUCCAAAGGGACUGAGGUUUAUGAGCACAGCUUCAUCUGCUGAGUGUCUUAAGGAAACAUUCAAAUAAAGGGGCUAGCUUAUUGGGAUCAUCCAGGGGGUUGGUAGAAGGAAAGAAGUGGAGGCAGAUACCCAAACUCAAGCGAAUGACAGGAGAUGGUCAGGAAGUUAGGUGCAAAAUAAUUGACAUGUGUUGGAUUGACAAAUAUACCAGUGCUCCUGAGAUGAACCAAGAGAGAAAACAGGAAACAAUCUUUGAACAGCAGAAGGAAACACCAAAGAAUGAAGUCUCUGUUACAGAAGAAACAAUGAGGUUUAAUAUGCCAUCACACUUUCAAUCGAGUGGAGUGCCUGGCUCAUAGAAAUGUGGGGUUUUAGUUGAAGUGUCAAAUGACGGUCCUUGCCUUUGCACAGCUACCUGCACUCUGGGAUUGCCCCUGCUGCCACUCUCAGGCUUAAAGGAAACCUCUAGGUUAACACUGAGCCUAUUCCUCCAGGUCCCUUGAUCUCAAAGCUUGGAAUCAAGGUCCCAUUUUCUUCUUAGAGAUCUGCUCCUUACCCUCUCCAGCUGCCAAAAAAACAGAGUGCUCCUGCCAGGUUUCAGAAACUGCAGUCUUUUGAUGAUGCAAGAAGUCAGACUGUGUUUUGGUACAAGCUUUGGAAAGCUCUGGGGAUCCUGCUUAGAAGGAUAUCAGCCAAAACAAAGGGGGUGGGAGGAGUAAGCUGUUUGAUCCAGCAUCAAAUCCCUCCACAGACGCCUCUGAACAAGGCUAUCAGAUGAAGCCCUCUCAUAGUGAGCUGCGUGAAAUUGGAGAUUCCACUUACCUUCUGCCUCUUAGAAUCAGACAAGCCCUCCACACAGCAAGAGGACAAAUGGCAAGCAUGUGUACUGUUCUCUCUGAACUGGAUAAUUUAGGAAAGUGGCUGUGGGAAGCACAGAGUGGUGAGGGAGGUUUGGAACGAGGGGUGGGCUGAGCAAGAAGACUUUCCACUCUUGAAUUAUAGUGCUGAUAGGAGCAAUAUCUGGGGGAGGUAGAGGAAGACAGGCCCCCUGUUAAAGGCUUUGCACUCUCUGCCAUAGAGUCAGUGGGGAGCCUUUGAAGAAGGUUGGA
rnacentral:lncRNA from 1 species